UUGCGUUUGGGAAGAGGCACCCGCAGAUCUGGAGACAUCACUCUGAGAAACCUGGGGGGUCAUGGAAGUAUAAGCCUGGCUGACACAAUGAAAUACCCAAUGAAGAGUGAGCUCUGUGUAUUUUGCUUCUGGCUUAUGUUUCCAGAAUCCCACAGUUUGAUAAGCGAUAGUUUGGAAGAGCCAUUCCAGUGUACCUGAAAGCUGAAGCCGAUGACUUUUCUUUAGAAGAGCUUACAAAGCAGAAUGAAAAGAGAGAACUCAGGGUAAUGGCCUGCUCCUCCCAACGUGAGUCAGGACACGUCCUCACAUGAUACUUUGUCCAAUAGUUUUUGGUAGAGUUCUACUACUCGCUGCUUAUUAUCCCAUCUUUGGAUUCGUCUUUUGCACCACGAGAGUGUAAGCAGACUACUCUGGGACUUAGAUGAGCUGUCAAAUAAUAACAAUGGACAAUAAAAGCAAAUUGCUGAGACACCAUGAGGCACAAGCUGGAGGUGAUCUCCAUAAACAAGUCAGAAAAUGUUUUCAAAAAAAUAAUGUAUUCAGUUAACUGAGGAUCAGCUGAUGGAAGUCUGAGUGAUUUUAGAGAGAAACAACCACAUCCAUCAACUUGUUUUGAAUGAUUUAUCUCUUUGGAUUUGGAAGCACAGCCCUUUGCAUUUGAACAACUCGCUUCUUAUUUCCCUCAUGAUGAAAAGUGAUUUAAAAAGGCAACCUUUAGAAAACCAUGGUAUUAAAAUGGUACAGUCUCACUGCCUUCGUCUUUUGUGAGCUUUUAGGAUGUCUGAGCAGUGCUCCCGACUCUAUCAUAUUGCACACCUCUGUUUUAAGGUGCUGCUCUGAGCUCCCCACCACCUUCAUGAAGCCCACACGUCAGCAGUCAGUCCCUUACAGCAACACUGGGUAGUGUCUUUAAGUUUGACUUCUGGGAGAGAUCUUUGUCUGGCGGAGAUGUCACAUCCAGUGGGAGCAUCUCUUGGUUCAGAAGUGAUCUGCAAUUGAGCGCUGCUGGGUGAAAGUGAUUUCUAGAUGAAAUUAAUUUCUUACCGAAUGUGGGGAACAUUCAAAACUAGUAUGCUUAAAUGGAAUAUUGCAGACUGAUGCUGAAUUUCAGUGGUGGGAAAGGCAGUAAUGAGAACUAUCUUAGCUUUCCCUGUGCUU